rnacentral:lncRNA from 1 species
GCCAGGGCGAGGCGACCCGGUGCGGGGGGACUCCCAUGGAGCGCGGACUCCUAAGGAAGUCGCUGGGAAUCCCACCGGCUGUACCGCAGGGCGUUAGUACCUAGAUGGCUUCGGUGCCCCCAAGCGAUGGGCUCAAGCUACAGGGCGGGCUUUGCACCUGGCCUUCUCAGCUCUGAGGCAGGCAGUGGGCAGCUUCGCCUCCACCCUCCGUCCAGCGCCCUUCCCAUGGGGCCAUCCGCCUCUCCCUAAGGCACUAAAAACCAGUGGAGGAGUCAGGCCAUGUUGGCAAAAAGGGCUCGGGCAGCAGCCCCAGACCUAUAGUCCUAAAUAUCCAUGUACCCAGCCCUGGGGUCGCGAGCCAUCUCAGGGACGACCCGAUUCCAGCGGAUGGAGAAGUUCCCUGAAAACACCUGCCUGGGAGGAGAGACGAGGGAACGAGAUUGGGCAAGUGGCAUCCGCCCAGCGGGCUUCUCAAAGGUUUUUAAAGCAGAAUGGGACGUAAUAGGAAGAUGUGUCUAGCAGAGAGUAAAAUAAAGGGGCAUUUAGAGGUGUGGGCACCUGGAUGAAAACAAAGGCUCCAAAGGGAUGAUGGUGAGGGUUACAGCCCACCACAGUAGACAGAGACACCAAGGAAGGAAUGCAGUCAGUGGCCCUGCGUAGACAGUCUCAGGAGAGAGCACACCAGCUCACCCCAGGACUCAUCCAAGGCUGGGGAUGGAUGUCGAUGCAGCAACUCUGGAAGGCAGAAGGUAACAGCUUGCAGCGUGAUAACACCAUGCAGUGUGAGGGAGCUGUAUGCAGUGGAGCCGCAGGGGUUAGUCAGGCCUCGCCCCUAAAUCUGCCUCUUAAAUAAGAGUCCGUUUCAGCCAAACCUGCCUUUUCCAGUUCCGUGGAGGUCAGUCUGCACAGCCAAUCCCUGACAGUGCUUUACCAUGGAACUGAAACCAUGAAAAGUGAAACUGCAAAUGGGAGAGACUGCUGUAUAGUCACUGAAAAAUUAAUGGAUGAGCUCAACAGCAAAUUAGACACAACUGAAACCUUGGACCCAUGUGUGGAAGAUGACAGCAUCACCAACUGGAGGGUGCCUGGAUCCCUGAGUCACCACUUGAAGCAAAAAGGUCAAGAGUAGCCACCUGACCCAUAUCAGGCUAUGAAAUGAAGAGAAAAUGACACGAGGCUUUGGAACCAAGAGCUGGAGGAACCUGGAAGCGAAAGCUGAGGCUGUCGGCUGCCCAGCAGUUAACACCCUGAGACCAUCUUCCCACUUCCAACACCCACAGAAGCUGCCACCCAAGGGCCCCUGUGUCCCCGCAUGGCCCACCUCAGCAGUAUGAUGCAGCACUGGGGAAGUGACAGAAUGUGAAAAAAACUAUUAUAGCUGAGAUAUUUUAAAAUUCCGCCCUCCAGGCAGCAUCUGGUUGCUACAGCAACCCCAGCUCUGCAGGGUGUCCCGAUUACCAGCAGGCUCCCUGCACCUGCCUCAGGCUGAGAGCAGGCGGCUGCCGCCAAGGGGAACACCAAGGAAAUGCCCAUGUUCUGAUUCCAAGGUAAUGGCUCAGACCCAAGGGGAUUUUAUCUGUUCAAUGUGCAACCUGAUGAAGUUUUGUCCCAUGUUAAUAAUUUCAUUAAAAAUAUGGCCUUACAUCCU